CAGUGACCUUGUCAAAACCACAGCUGCUUCUAGAUAGCUGCUGUGGGGAAACAAAAAAAAGGAGCCCUGGGGUAAAGCGUUUCCUUGUCAGUUAUGAUUCUGAUUGCUGUAACUGAUCUACAUUUUGCAAAAGGGCAAUG
ensembl:snoRNA Gm24896 small nucleolar RNA SNORA16B/SNORA16A family